rnacentral:rRNA from 1 species
CCCCGGGGGGUUAUUGCCCUCAGUAGCGGGCGAGUGAAGCGGCAAGAGCUCAGAUUUGAAAUCGUGCUUUGCGGCACGAGUUGUAGAUUGCAGGUUGGAGUCUGUGUGGAAGGCGGUGUCCAAGUCCCUUGGAACAGGGCGCCCAGGAGGGUGAGAGCCCCGUGGGAUGCCGGCGGAAGCAGUGAGGCCCUUCUGACGAGUCGAGUUGUUUGGGAAUGCAGCUCCAAGCGGGUGGUAAAUUCCAUCUAAGGCUAAAUACUGGCGAGAGACCGAUAGCGAACAAGUACUGUGAAGGAAAGAUGAAAAGCACUUUGAAAAGAGAGUGAAACAGCACGUGAAAUUGUUGAAAGGGAAGGGUAUUGCGCCCGACAUGGGGAUUGCGCACCGCUGCCUCUCGUGGGCGGCGCUCUGGGCUUUCCCUGGGCCAGCAUCGGUUCUUGCUGCAGGAGAAGGGGUUCUGGAACGUGGCUCUUCGGAGUGUUAUAGCCAGGGCCAGAUGCUGCGUGCGGGGACCGAGGACUGCGGCCGUGUAGGUCACGGAUGCUGGCAGAACGGCGCAACACCGCCCGUCUUGAAACACGGAC